CUUAACCCAUGCAAGUCGAGGGGCAGCAUGGACUUAGCUUGCUUCAAUUGAUGGCGACCGGCACACGGGUGAGUAACACGUAUCCAACCUUCCGUACACUCAGGGAUAGCCUUUCGAAAGAAAGAUUAAUACCUGAUGGUAUCUUAAGCACGCAUGUAAUUAAGAUUAAAGAUUUAUCGGUGUACGAUGGGGAUGCGCUCCAUUAGGUAGUAGGCGGGGUAACGGCCCACCUAGCCUACGAUGGAUAGGGGUUCUGAGAGGAAGGUCCCCCACAUUGGAACUGAGACACGGUCCAAACUCCUACGGGAGGCAGCAGUGAGGAAUAUUGGUCAAUGGACGAGAGUCUGAACCAGCCAAGUAGCGUGAAGGAUGAAGGUCCUACGGAUUGUAAACUUCUUUUAUAAGGGAAUAAAACCUCCCACGUGUGGGAGCUUGUAUGUACCUUAUGAAUAAGCAUCGGCUAACUCCGUGCCAGCAGCCGCGGUAAUACGGAGGAUGCAAGCGUUAUCCGGAUUUAUUGGGUUUAAAGGG
rnacentral:rRNA from 1 species